GCCUCCUUAGUUUAACGGUCAGAACAAUUGCUUUGUAAGCAAUAAAUUUCAGUUCAAAUCUGAACGGAGGCUUA
rnacentral:tRNA from 1 species